rnacentral:rRNA from 1 species
CAGUAGCCGCGGUAAAACCAGCACCUCGAGUGGUCAGGAGGUUUAUUGGGCCUAAAGCAUCCGUAGCCGGUUGCAUAAGUUUUCGGUUAAAUCUAUGCGCUUAACGUAUAGGCCGCCGAAAAUACUGUGCAGCUAGGGAGUGGGAGAGGUACACGGUACUCGAUAGGAAGGGGUAAAAUCCUUUGAUCUAUUGAUGACCACCUGUGGCGAAGGCGGUGUACCAGAACACGUUCGACGGUGAGGGAUGAAAGCUGGGGGAGCAAACCGGAUUAGAUACCCCCGUAGUCCCUGUCUCUUAUAC